AGUGAACGCUGGCGGCAGGCCUAACACAUGCAAGUCGAGCGGCAGCGCGGGGGCAACCCUGGCGGCGAGCGGCGGACGGGUGAGGAAUGCAUCGGAAUCUACCUCGUUGUGGGGGAUAACCUCGGGAAACCGGGACUAAUACCGCAUACGACCUACGGGUGAAAGUGGGGGACCUUCGGGCCUCACGCGAUGAGAUGAGCCGAUGCCGGAUUAGCUAGUUGGCGGGGUAAAGGCCCACCAAGGCGACGAUCCGUAGCUGGUCUGAGAGGAUGAUCAGCCACACUGGAACUGAGACACGGUCCAGACUCCUACGGGAGGCAGCAGUGGGGAAUAUUGGACAAUGGGCGCAAGCCUGAUCCAGCCAUGCCGCGUGUGCGAAGAAGGCCUUCGGGUUGUAAAGCACUUUUUGAGAGGAUGAGGAAGGACGGUACUCUCAGAAUAAGUCUCGGCUAACUACGUG
rnacentral:rRNA from 1 species